rnacentral:lncRNA from 1 species
UUCGGCCUCUGCCGUUCCAGCAUCCAAAGUAUCUUCGUUGAACUUUGAUGGGCUCGACGGAGCGCUGCUUGAAGGUGUAUCGGUUGGUUGUGGUUGGGCUUCAGCCGUUCCAGCAUCAACAGUAUCUUCGUCGAACUUUGACGGGCUCGACGGAACGCUGCUUGAAGGUGUAUCGGUUGGUUGUGAUUGGGCUUCAAGCAUUACAGGUUCGACGGUGUCGGUAUCUUCGUCAAACUUUGGCGGGCUAGAUGGAGCGCUGCUUGAAGGUGUGUCAGACGAUUCAGCAGCUUCUGAACGUUGUGAAUCUACCGAAGGCCUAUCAGAGUUGGUUGUGCU